rnacentral:rRNA from 1 species
GUGGGGAAUUUUGGGCAAUGGGCGAAAGCCUGACCCAGCAACGCCGCGUGAGGGAUGAAGGCCCUCGGGUCGUAAACCUCUGUCGGGAGGGAAGAACGACCUCAUGGUUAAUACCCAUGAGGUGUGACGGUACCUCCAAAGGAAGCGCCGGCUAACUCCGUGCCAGCAGCCGCGGUAAUACGGAGGGCGCAAGCGUUGUUCGGAAUUACUGGGCGUAAAGCGCGUGUAGGCGGUUAGGGAAGUCGGAUGUGAAAGCCCCGGGCUCAACCCGGGAAUUGCAUCCGAAACUCCUUGACUAGAGUCCCGGAGAGGAAGGCAGAAUUCCCAGUGUAGGGGUGAAAUCCGUAGAUAUUGGGAGGAAUACCAGUGGCGAAGGCGGCCUUCUGGACGGUGACUGACGCUGAGACGCGAAAGCGUGGGGAGCAAACAGG